GACAGAGGGUGCAAGCGUUGUUCGGAAUUACUGGGCGUAAAGCGUGCGUAGGCGGCCAUGUAAGUCAGGUGUGAAAGCCCCGGGCUUAACCCGGGAAGUGCACUUGAAACUGCGUGGCUUGAGUAUCGGAGAGGUUGGUGGAAUUCUCGGUGUAGAGGUGAAAUUCGUAGAUAUCGAGAGGAACACCGGUGGCGAAGGCGGCCAACUGGACGAAUACUGACGCUGAGACACGAAAGCGUGGGGAGCAAACAGG
rnacentral:rRNA from 1 species